rfam:Alligator mississippiensis ScZkoYb_121, whole genome shotgun sequence.
UCCCUGAUGGUCUAGUGGUUAGGAUUUGGCACUUUCACUGCUACGGCCUGGGUUCGAUUCCCAGUCAGGAAA